CACUUUUAAUGGGCACCAGCCGCCCACUAAUUUUAGGAGUUAGUCCCCCU
rnacentral:tRNA from 1 species